GACGAACGCUGGCGGCGUGCUUAACACAUGCAAGUCGAACGGAAAGGCCCUGCUUUUGUGGGCUGCUCGAGUGGCGAACGGGUGAGUAACACGUGAGUAACCUGCCCUUGACUUUGGGAUAACUUCAGGAAACUGGGGCUAAUACCGGAUAGGAUCUCCUGCUGCAUUGUGGGCGUUGGAUAUUUUCGGCGGUUGGGGAUGGACUCGCGGCUUAUCAGCUUGUUGGUGGGGUAGUGGCUUACCAAGGCUUUGACGGGUAGCCGGCCUGAGAGGGUGACCGGCGACAUGGGGACUGAGAUACGGACCAGACUCCUACGGGAGGCAGCAGUGGGGAAUAUGGCACAAUGGGCGGAAGCCUGAGGAAGAAACGCCGCGGGCGGGAUGACGGCCUUCGGGUUGUAAACCGCUUUCGCCUGUGACGAAGCGUGAGUGACGGUAAUGGGUAAAGAAGCACCGGCUAACUACGUG
rnacentral:rRNA from 1 species